rnacentral:rRNA from 1 species
AGUUUGAUCAUGGCUCAGAACGACGCUGGCGGCAUGCCUAACACAUGCAAGUCGAACGAAGGCUUCGGCCUUAGUGGCGCACGGGUGCGUAACGCGUGGGAACCUGCCCCUCGGUUCGGAAUAACAGUUAGAAAUGACUGCUAAUACCGGAUGAUGACUUCGGUCCAAAGAUUUAUCGCCGAGGGAUGGGCCCGCGUAGGAUUAGCUAGUUGGUGGGGUAAAGGCCUACCAAGGCGACGAUCCUUAGCUGGUCUGAGAGGAUGAUCAGCCACACUGGGACUGAGACACAGCCCAGACUCCUACGGGAGGCAGCAGUGGGGAAUAUUGGACAAUGGGCGAAAGCCUGAUCCAGCAAUGCCGCGUGAGUGAUGAAGGCCUUAGGGUUGUAAAGCUCUUUUACCAGGGAUGAUAAUGACAGUACCUGGAGAAUAAGCUCCGGCUAACUCCGUG